UGGCCUAACCCCAAUCAGGCCAUGGUACCAUCUCCCCAAAGAGACAGCUGCCAUGAGGGAACCACUGAAAUAACUUGAGAGCCAGAAAGCAGUUCUUCUUGCCUUUAGGGUCUUCUGUGAUCCUGCUAGAGGGGCGAUGCAGAAAAACAAAGUAACUGAUCCUACCAGAUGAGUUGACCUGGGGAAAUAUCUCUCAUUGCAUCUUGACUCUCAGAGAUGCCAAUUUACUAUGGUGCUUGGUAAAGAUGAAAAAUCGAGCUUGAGAUUCAGUUACUCAGAGGCCUCCAGGUAAAUUUUCUAAGCUCCCAAGCCUAGCAGUGUAAAGGCCAGGCAUCCUCAGCCCCACCCUGUUCUUCUGACAUUCUAUUGCUUCCAUUUCAACUGUAAACCCUGGAGGAGAGGGAGAGCAGUGCUCAGGAGAACUGUCUACAAGCAACAUUUUGUAGCA